rnacentral:rRNA from 1 species
AACAACCGGGAUUGCUUAGUAACGGCGAGUGAAGCGGCAAAAGCUCAAAUUUGAAAUCUGGCACCUUCGGUGUCCGAGUUGUAAUUUGAAGAAGUAACUUUGGGGCUGGUCCUUGUCUAUGUUCCUUGGAACAGGACGUCAUAGAGGGUGAGAAUCCCGUGUGGCGAGGAUCCCAGUUCUUUGUAAAGUGCUUUCGACGAGUCGAGUUGUUUGGGAAUGCAGCUCUAAGUGGGUGGUAAAUUCCAUCUAAAGCUAAAUAUUGGCGAGAGACCGAUAGCGAACAAGUACAGUGAUGGAAAGAUGAAAAGAACUUUGAAAAGAGAGUGAAAAAGUACGUGAAAUUGUUGAAAGGGAAGGGCAUUUGAUCAGACAUGGUGUUUUGCGACCCUCGCUCCUUGUGGGUGGGGAUCUCGCAGCUCACUGGGCCAACAUCGGUUUUGGCGGCAGGAUAAAACUUUGGGAAUGUAACUUGUCUUCGGAGAAGUAUUAUAGCCCAAGGCAAUACUGCCAGCCGGGACCGAGGACUGCGAC